rnacentral:rRNA from 1 species
AUGGCCGCAGCACCCUCCGCUUCCCGCCUCCUCGAGGAGCCUCACGGAGUGCUGAAGAAAGGGAGGGCCAAAGAGGAGGAGGAGGAGGAGGCGAGGGACUGGGCGGAGCUGCCGCGGGAUGCGUUGCUGGCCGUGUUCCACAAGCUGGACCACAUCGAUAUCCUCACAGGGCCCGACAUGGUGUGCAGCCCAUGGCGCAGGGCUACCAUGGACGAGCCCGAGCUGUGGCGCCGCAUCGAUAUGCGCUUCCACGUCGCCGAACAAUACCCUGGGGUACUCUUUGAGAUGGUGAGAGCCGCCAUGAGACGCAGUGCGGGCCGGUGCGAGGCCUUCUGGUGCGAGGGUGAAUUCUCAGACAAUGUCUUGUCCCUUCUCGGUGAUGCGGCGCCCUCAUUGAAGAGCCUUCGACUCAUCGGGUGCGAUGAUAUCGUGGAUUCGACAUUCAAGGUGCUGAUCACAAAGUUCCCCGUGCAAGAGGAGUUGGAGCUGUCAAACUGUUGGCAUCGCUUUCCACGCACACUGGAAGUUAUAGGGGAUGCCUGCCCUCUCCUGAAGCGCUUUCGACUAAGCCAAAGGUCCUUCUACUCACCAAGAGUGGGUGACAGUGCAGCCAUGGCUAUGAUGCCGGAGCUGCAGUCGUUGCAGCUUACUGCUAAUUCGCUCACCAACAGUGGUUUGGAACUCAUCCUUAAUGGCUGCCCGCUCCUAGAGUCUCUCGACAUUCGCUCUUGUUACCAUGUUUGCAUGGACGAUGAUAUGCAAGCAAAGUGUUCUAGGAUUAGGACUCUGAGGCAUCCUGAAGACUCUAUGGAUGAUUAUGACCUCUCAUUUGAUUAUACAAUUCCCAGGCCAUGCUGGUCUACUAAACCAAUCGAAUACGCUAUGAGCUGUACGAGUCCUUACUAG